rnacentral:rRNA from 1 species
AUGAUGCAGGCGCAUGAUGAGGACUACGAGGCGGACAAGUAUGAGGACCCAGACAUGCGGGACUCCAUGACAGGACAUUGUCGAGUUCAGCACAACCGUGGUGAUGCCCUGGUGCCCUCUUUAGAAGAGGAUUGUGGUGCUCAAACGCAGCACCAACCAGAUCGAUCAACCUCUGGCCAUGUAGGAGACCUGCUUGUCCGGACUGUGGUCAGGGAUGUUGGUCCCAGUGUUGGGUGGCCUACCCUCACUAAAACCAACUACGUCGAGUGGGCCGGGAUCAUGAAGGUCAGGCUCCAGGUGUGGCGCAUGUGGGAGGCAGUCCAGGACAGCAACGUCGACCACCUAGAGGAUCGACGGGCGCUGGACGCCCUCAUCGCCGCAGUCCCGUCCGAGAUGCAGUUCUCGCUUUCCAACAAACGGACUGCCAAGGAGGCUUGGGACGCCAUCGCCGCAGCACGCAUCGGCAGCGACCGUGCUCGCAAGUCCACCCUGCAGGCACUUCGUAAGGAGUGGGAGAACCUGGGCUUCAAGCCAAGUGAGGACGUUGAUGACUUUGCUCUCCGUCUCAACACUUUGCUGCAAAAGAUGGUGAAGUUUGGCGAUGCCACCUAUACCAAGGAGAGAGCUGUCGAGAAGCUUUUUUGGUGCAUUCCCGAGAAGUACAAGCAGAUGGCUCGCUCGAUCGAGUCGUUGCUGGACCUUUCCACGAUGAAGAUCGAGGAGGCGAUAGGCCGUCUCAAGGUCGUCGACACCGACGAGCCACAGCCCCCCUCGGGGCCCAUCACCACCGGUGGGAAGCUGCUCCUAACUCGGGAGCAGUGGGAUCCCAGCCUUGGUGACAGGAAGAAGGGGGAGCCUUCCCCCUCGACGGGCGGCCGCAAGCGUGGCAAGCAGCGUAAGGCGCGAAGAGGCCCCCCGGGCAGGGCACAAGGACGUGCCGAAGGUGACGCCCGCGGAGGCGCCAAGGACGGCGCCGCUGGCAAGCCCAAGCCGGCACAAGACAGCAGUUGCCACAACUGUGGCCGGUUUGGCCAUUGGGCCAAUGAGUGUCGGCAACCACGACAAGGCCAGGCUCACGUCGCACAGGCGAAGGAGGAGGAGACGACUCUCUGCGUCGUAACCUCCAUGUCCCGCUACUAUGGCUGGAUGGACUACCUACUCCUCGUGCACUACCUUAGCUUCCGACAUUGCAUGAUGAUGGUCUGGCUGCAACCAUGGCAGUGGUGCCCCCCAUCCUCCUCCCCUCACAGCGGCUGUGACGUGCCACUCGUAAUCCUACCAGGACAAUCAGGAGCCCCAGAUGCCGAGGAUCAACUUCAGAUUCUCCCGUUUUGUGAUUAUAUGACUAACCCAAGAUGCAUGCAUCUGUCCACAUACGCGCCUCCCAAGUUGUUUAACAAGGAAGUAGAUCCUUCAGGACAUAUGAGAAAACAGCAUGAGCUCUGCAUUGUCAUUUCAGUAGGGGAGAAAUUGUACAAGACUGAAGCAAAACAGCCGAAGAAACAAGAGAAAAAGAAGUCAGAAACUAAAUCUGAAACUGUGCAAACAGUUCGGCUAUACACAGUCAGGGCGCCUGAGCAGCAGCCAGAAAACAGCACUGGCCAGGAACCAAGUUUUCUUUGCACAAGGACAAUCCAGAGAAAGGUGGGUGGCCGACGCGAUUGUUUGGUCGCAGUUGGAGCAAACAUCAUGGUUGCAGCAUCUCUGAAUGUAGCGGGUUCAACAAGUUUGGCAGUAAACCAGCAGCACAAGCCACUGCAUCUCCCACAUGAUCUCUCAACACAGCCCCACCAGCCUCCAUUACAUUCGUUUGGUUUGGACGAGCCAUCGAUGUUCAUUUCAAUCCAGCCAGCCGGCGGUGGUUAG